rnacentral:lncRNA from 1 species
UUGGGCUGUGAGAACAUACAGCCAGGCCUGGUUCGGUUCGGGAACAUCUCCACCAAAAUUUUUUUUUUUAAUUAGCUGAGUGUGGUGGUGCUAGCCUGUGGUCCCAGCUACACAAGAGGCUAAGGCGGGAGGAUAGCUUGAACCCUGGAGGUCGAAGCUGCUGUGAGCCAUGAUCAUGUCACUGCACUCCAGCCUGGGUGACAGAGCCUAAAAGCAGGGCAUAAAUUUCCCAUUGAGGAAGGUGCUUCCCCACCCACCCAGUACCAGGGAGAGAAGAGUGAUUUUUACCAAAGAUGGGAAUUAACACCAAGAUGAAUUUGCAUAAACAGAUCUUUCUAAAAUAGCCCUUAUCUUCCAUUAAUUCCCCCAUGUUUCCUACUCAGUGCCCCACAAUUAGUUCCUUGAAGCUCAAA